GCCCUUGUAGUUCAAUGGACAGAACUCCUCACUCCUAACGAGGGGAUGCAGGUUCGAUUCCUGCCGAGGGCA
rnacentral:tRNA from 3 species